GUAGGUGAACCUGCGGAAGGAUCAUUACCUAGAGUUGUAGGCUUUGCCUGCUAUCUCUUACCCAUGUCUUUUGAGUACUUACGUUUCCUCGGCGGGUCCGCCCGCCGAUUGGACAAUUUAAACCAUUUGCAGUUGCAAUCAGCGUCUGAAAAACUUUAAUAGUUACAACUUUCAACAACGGAUCUCUUGGUUCUG
rnacentral:misc_RNA from 1 species